rnacentral:lncRNA from 1 species
GAAAGACCAUGUAGCUAGUAGACAGCAGAGACGGGACUGGAACUCAGUUCUGGAUGAUUCAGAGAACCCAAACAUCUGAGAGAGAAGUCAAAAGUCUCCGCACAGAAGUCCCCAACCCCAUGCCCCACUAGGUAAUGCCUGUGAUUUUCCCAACCCAGCUGGGACUGUUUGCAAUGUAUUGUAGGAAGCUUUCCCUUGAGCACGAAGGACAAGAAUACAAAUGGUCACCCACAGGCUCACUGCCCCUGACCUGCCCCACCUCCCAGGAAUCGGCUGCUGGCCCUGAUCAUACAGAACAGACUUUUUGUGGUGGAUUCAGCUACCUCAAGAGUGUAUAUACAGGAACAACUGGGCGGCUCAGUUGGCUAAAUGUCUGACUCUUGAUCUCAAAGUUGUGAGUUUAAGCCCCAUGUUGGGCAUCACAAAGUAUUACGCAGUACUGCUUCUACCACCAGGGGACAGGAAAAGGAAUGGGUAAUCUAGAAGCCACUAAUAAAACUAAACGCUUAUCUGAG